rnacentral:rRNA from 2 species
GUUAUAUGAUCAAGCGACCAAGCGCAUCUGGUGGAUGCCUUGGCGGCAACAGGCGAUGAAGGACGUAGUAGUCUGCGAUAAGCUUCGGGGAGCUGACAAACAAGCUUUGAUCCGAAGAUUUCCGAAUGGGAAAACCCGGCACGCAAGUGUCAUCUUUAACUGAAUACAUAGGUUAUUGAAGCUAACGCGGUGAACUGAAACAUCUAAGUAACCGUAGGAAAAGAAAUCAACCGAGAUUCCGCAAGUAGUGGCGAGCGAACGCGGAUCAGCCCUUAAGUGUAUGAAACAUAGCAGAACAGUCUGGAAAGGCUGGCCAUAGUGGGUGAUAGCCCCGUAUGCGAAAUGCCAAAUACAUGAAAUUGAGUAAGGCGAGGCACGUGAAACCUUGUCUGAAUAUGGGGGGACCAUCCUCCAAGGCUAAAUACUCGUUGCCGACCGAUAGUGAACCAGUACCGUGAGGGAAAGGCGAAAAGAACCCCGGAGAGGGGAGUGAAAUAGAACCUGAAACCGGAUGCGUACAAGCAGUCAGAGCAGACUUGUUCUGUGAUGGCGUACCUUUUGUAUAAUGGGUCAGCGACUUACUAGUCUGUUGCGAGGCUAACCGUUUAGGGGAGCCGUAGGGAAACCGAGUCUUAAUAGGGCGAUUAGUAGCAGGCUGUAGACCCGAAACCCGUCGAUCUAUCCAUGAACAGGGUGAAGUUGUGGUAACACACAAUGGAGGCCCGAACGUACUACUGUUGAAAAAGUAAGCGAUGAUUUGUGGAUAGGAGUGAAAGGCUAAUCAAGGCGGGUGAUAGCUGGUUCUCCUCGAAAGCUAUUUAGGUAGCGCCUCGUGUAUAACUGUAGGGGGUAGAGCACUGUUACGGUCUGGGGGGAGCACAAGUUCCUACCCAACUGUUGCAAACUCCGAAUACCUACAAGUUCAGCACGGGAGACACACGGUGGGAGCUAAAUUUCAUCGUGAAAAGGGAAACAACCCUGACCGCCAGCUAAGGUCCCAAAAUUUCAGCUAAGUGGUAAACGAUGUGGGAAGUCAUAGACAGCCAGGAUGUUGGCUUAGAAGCAGCCAUCAUUUAAAGAAAGCGUAAUAGCUCACUGGUCGAGUCGGCCUGCGCGGAAGAUGUAACGGGGCUCAAGCUGAAUACCGAAGCUGCGGAUUUGCAAUUUAUUGCAAGUGGUAGAGGAGCGUUCUGUAAGCCUGUGAAGGUGACUCGUAAGGGUUGCUGGAGGUAUCAGAAGUGCGAAUGCUGACAUGAGUAACGAUAAUGACGGUGAAAAACCGUCACGCCGUAAGCCCAAGGGUUCCAGCGCAACGUUAUUCGGCGCUGGGUGAGUCGGAUCCUAAGGCGAGGCCGAGAGGCGUAGUCGAUGGAAAGCAGGUUAAUAUUCCUGCACUUGUUGUUACUGCGAUGGGAUGACGGAGAAGGUUAGGUCAGCCACCUGUUGGAUGGUGGUUUAAGCACGUAGGUAGGUCUCUUAGGCAAAUCCGGGAGAUUAUUUCUGAAAUGUGACGACGAGGCCCUUUAGGGCUGAAGUGAUUGAUACCCAGCUCCCAAGAAAAGUCUCUAAGCUCCAGGUAACAAGAAUCCGUACCCUAAACCGACACAGGUGGGCGAGGAGAGUAUCCUAAGGCGUUUGAGACAACUCGGAUGAAGGAACUCGGCAAAUUUGUACCGUAACUUCGGGAUAAGGUACGCCCUCAUUAGGUGUUAAAGCCGAAGAGGGCCGCAGUGAAGAGGGGGUUGCGACUGUUUAUCAAAAACACAGGACUCUGCAAACACGAAAGUGGACGUAUAGGGUCUGACGCCUGCCCGGUGCUGGAAGGUUAAUUGAUGGGGUUAGUCGUAAGACGAAGCUCUUGAUCGAAGCCCCAGUAAACGGCGGCCGUAACUAUAACGGUCCUAAGGUAGCGAAAUUCCUUGUCGGGUAAGUUCCGACCUGCACGAAUGGCGUAACGAUAGCCCCACUGUCUCCAUCCGAGGCUCAGUGAAAUUGAAAUCGCUGUGACGAUGCAGUGUUCCCGCGGCAAGACGGAAAGACCCCGUGAACCUUUACUAUAACUUUACACUGGAUUUUGAGUUUGUUUGUGUAGGAUAGGUGGGAGCCUUUGAAGCACUGGCGCUAGCUGGUGUGGAGGCGUCCUUGAAAUACCACCCUGAUAAACUCGAAGUUCUAACCUCGCUCCAUUAUCUGGAGUAGGGACAUUGUAUGGCGGGUAGUUUGACUGGGGCGGUCUCCUCCCAAAGAGUAACGGAGGAGUGCGAAGGUUAGCUCAGCGCGGUCGGAAAUCGCGCUCUUGAGUGCAUAGGCAUAAGCUAGCUUGACUGCGAGACAAACAAGUCGAGCAGGUACGAAAGUAGGUCUAAGUGAUCCGGUGGUUCUGUAUGGAAGGGCCAUCGCUCAACGGAUAAAAGGUACUCCGGGGAUAACAGGCUGAUACUGCCCAAGAGUCCAUAUCGACGGCAGUGUUUGGCACCUCGAUGUCGGCUCAUCUCAUCCUGGGGCUGUAGCAGGUCCCAAGGGUCUGGCUGUUCGCCAGUUAAAGAGGUACGCGAGCUGGGUUCAGAACGUCGUGAGACAGUUCGGUCCCUAUCUGCCGUGGGCGUUUGAUAUUUGAAAGGAGUUGACCUUAGUACGAGAGGACCGGGUUGAACGAAUCUCUGGUGUUCCGGUUGUCACGCCAGUGGCAUCGCCGGGUAGCUAUAUUCGGACGGGAUAACCGCUGAAAGCAUCUAAGCGGGAAGCCCACCUUAAGAUUAGAUAUCACGAGUCUUUAAGACUCCUAAAGUGCCCAAGUAGACUAUUUGGUUGAUAGGUGAGGUGUGGAAGUGCGGCAACGCAUGAAGCUAACUCAUACUAAUUGCACGUGCGGCUUGAUCAUAUAACGCUCAAGCAUUU